CUCCGCUGGCCCGCGUGAAACCCUCUCUGCUGCCUCGACUGACUGUCGUUUCCGUGUCUUGAUUGUGGCCUCUGCCUCUCCCCCUUCCGAUUUCGUUCGACUUCUUUCUACAGUUACUAAGCGCCCACUGUGUGCCCUGGAAGGGACUAGACUUAGCAGGAAAAACAUCCAGGCAAGUGGACAGCAUUUGCAUCAGCCCAGCAAUAAGAAGGACCAUAUUCUACUUGGGAAAAGCCUGCCAGGAAACCUGUCAUUCAACCCUUCGCAAUAAAACAGCUCCUCAUGAAUGAAGCAAAAUAAAUCAGAAGUUGUGGGCUUUUAAACUCACUAAAUGAAAGCCCAGCAUGCAUGCAGCCUCCCUCCAAAUUAAUCACCAGAUUAAAUGCAAGAUGUGCACACCAAAUCAAUAGCUUGUGACACAGACCUCCUGCCUGUGCUUCAGGAAAAUUCCAUUUCCUUUCAGAUGUUGUCGCUUGAAAUGUCAGGAAGUUUCCAUUCAUCACCCGCCCUUGAAAAUGCCACCAUCACCAUACUUCAUGUUUCCUUGCUUUCUUUCUUCAGAGGAAUCCAAGCACCUUGCAGAGGGAGCCCACUCCUUGUCACAG
rnacentral:lncRNA from 1 species